ensembl:ncRNA mir-4970 mir-4970 stem loop
CCAAAGGUGGGCGACAAGGGCUGGGAGCAGCAGUUGCUGGCGGUAUUCUGAAGCUGCUCUUCCGUGGGUUGCUCUUGCUCCUGACCCUCCUCUUCCUCCGCUU